GACGAACCGUGCGAACGUUGUUCGGAAUCACUGGGCUUAAAGGGCGCGUAGGCGGGCUGUCCAGUCUGGGGUGAAAUCCCGCGGCUCAACCGUGGAACUGCCUCAGAUACUGACGGCCUCGAGGGAGAUAGGGGCAUGCGGAACUGUAGGUGGAGCGGUGAAAUGCGCAGAUAUCAGGAGGAACACCGGUGGCGAAGGCGGGGUCUUUUGGGCCGAUACUGACGCUGAGGAGCGAAAGCGUGGGGAGCGAACAGG
rnacentral:rRNA from 1 species